ACGGAAGGCAGCAGUGGGGAAUAUUGCACAAUGGGGGGAACCCUGAUGCAGCGACGCCGCGUGAGUGAAGAAGUAUUUCGGUAUGUAAAGCUCUAUCAGCAGGGAAGAAAAUGACGGUACCUGACUAAGAAGCCCCGGCUAACUACGUGCCAGCAGCCGUGGUAAUACGUAGGGGGCAAGCGUUAUCCGGAUUUACUGGGUGUAAAGGGAGCGUAGACGGCAAGGCAAGUCUGAAGUGAAAUCCCCGGGCUCAACCCGGGAACUGCUUUGGAAACUGUCCUGCUAGAGUGCAGGAGGGGCAGGCGGAAUUCCUAGUGUAGCGGUGAAAUGCGUAGAUAUUAGGAGGAACACCAGUGGCGAAGGCGGCUUACUGGACGAUAACUGACGUUGAGGCUCGAAAGCGUGGGGAGCAAACAGGAUUAGAUACCCUGGUA
rnacentral:rRNA from 1 species